rnacentral:lncRNA from 1 species
UUAUGUCCUAGUCCAAAUAUAUAUCCAAAAUUCAGAAAGAUUGAAGCAAUCACUUUUACAAAUUUAGCCAAUACACAUCCAUACCCCUAUUGACAAUACAAGAGAUGUUCCGAAAACUGUAAAUAUCACCUUUUUGCACUUGACCUAAUCACUCAUUCUAUAUCAAAAUCAGUUAAAAUACAACCUCCAAAAAUUUAUUUGACCUCUCUUCUUU